rnacentral:rRNA from 1 species
UACAGAGGGGGCAAGCGUUGUUCGGAAUUACUGGGCGUAAAGGGCGCGUAGGCGGUCCGAUAAGUCCCGUGUGAAAUCCCUCGGCUCAACUGAGGAACCGCACGGGAAACUGCCGGGCUUGAGUUCGGGAGAGGGAAGCGGAAUUCCGGGUGUAGCGGUGAAAUGCGUAGAUAUCCGGAGGAACACCGGUGGCGAAGGCGGCUUCCUGGACCGACACUGACGCUGAGGCGCGAAAGCUAGGGGAGCAAACGGG